rnacentral:misc_RNA from 1 species
GAUGAAGAACGUAGCGAAAUGCGAUAAGUAAUGUGAAUUGCAGAAUUCAGUGAAUCAUCGAAUCUUUGAACGCACAUUGCGCCCAUUAGCAUUCUAGUGGGCAUGCCUGUUCGAGCGUCAUUUCAACCCUUAAGCCCAGUUGCUUAGCGUUGGGAGCCUACAGUACUGUAGCUCCCCAAAGUUAGUGGCGGAGUCGGUUUCACACUCUAGACGUAGUAAAUUUUUCUCGUCUGUAGUUGAGCCGGUCCCCUGCCGUAAAACACCCAAUUUAUCAAGGUUGACCUCGGAUCAGGUAGGAAUACCCGCUGAACUUAAGCAUAUCAAUAAGCGGAGGA